CCUACGGGGCUCAGCAGUGGGGAAUAUUGCGCAAUGGGCGAAAGCCUGACGCAGCGACGCCGCGUGAGGGAUGCAGGUCUUCGGAUCGUACACCUCUGUCAGCAGGGAAGAACGGUCACUGUGCUAAUCAGCAGUGAAUUGACGGUACCUGCAAAGGAAGCACCGGCUAACGCCGUGCCAGCAGCCGCGGUAAUACGGAGGGUGCGAGCGUUAAUCUGAAUUACUGGGCGGAAAGCGCACGUAGGCGGUCUGUCAAGUCAAGGGUGAAAUCCCCGCGAUCAACUUGGGAACUGCCUUUGAAACUGGUAAACUGGAGUGUGUGAGAGGAUAGUGGAAUUCCAGGUGUAGGAGUGAAAUCCGUAGAUAUCUGGAGGAACAUCAGUGGCGAAGGCGACUAUCUGGCACAUAACUGACGCUGAGGAGUGAAAGCGUGGGUAGCAAACAGGAUUAGAUACCCUAGUAGUC
rnacentral:rRNA from 1 species